rnacentral:SRP_RNA from 1 species
CACGCGGGUAGGGCCGAGGGGCUCGCCCUCCCUCGUAACCCGAAAUGGGCGAUAUGCGGGGGCCAGUAACCCGCCGCUGUACAGUGUACACCCUAAGUCCUACGGUAAGUGUCAAUGAAACCCCGCCCCAUGGGGUUAGCGGUGGCGGACCGCCCGCUGGAGGGCGGGUUGGUACCGCCUUUACCGGGGGAACAUGGCUAGGCCCGGAAGGGAGCAACCUAACCCCGGACGCUAACGUUCAUGGGUUCACGGGGUUGAGAUCACUUACCGUAGGCUCCUUAGGGUAUACACUGUUUAGGCGGCGGGGGCCGCGUG